rnacentral:rRNA from 1 species
UUAGUGGCGGACGGGUGAGUAACGCGUGGGUAACCUGCCUCACACUGGGGGAGUAACAGUUAGAAAUAGCUGCUAAUACCGCAUAAGCGCACAGUUCCGCAUGGAACAGUGUGAAAAACUCCGGUGGUACAAGAUGGACCCGCGUCUGAUUAGCUGGUUGGUGAGGUAACGGCCCACCAAGGCAACGAUCAGUAGCCGGCCUGAGAGGGUGAACGGCCACAUUGGGACUGAGACACGGCCCAAACUCCUACGGGAGGCAGCAUG